rnacentral:rRNA from 1 species
UACUAGCGGUCCAAGUCGCAGCCAUUUUUAUUGGGUCUAAAACAUCCGUAGCUUGCUUAGUAAGUUUUUUGUGAAAUCUUAUGUCUUAAGCAUAAGGCGUGCAAGAAAUACUGCUUAGCUAGAGACUGGAAGAUGUAGGAAGUACGUUUGAAGUAGCGGUAAAAUGUUCUAAUCUCAAACGGACUCACAAUAGCGAAGGCAUCCUACAAGGACAGUUCUGACAGUAAGGGAUGAAGGCUAGGGGCGCAAAACGGAUUAGAUACCCCCGUA